UCUAGAGUAGAAGAUCUAGCAGUGAGCAAUGUCAAAAUUGAUUUAAUUUAAGGGAGAACCAAUCCUAUCGAAAGGUGGAAAUAGUAUCUAACACAUUUGAGAAUUUCCAACUAAAGACAUAUGGAAUGAACAAGUACAUGGACCUCCUGAAAGGAAGAGGCUCAUGAUCUUCUCGUGAUUAUCUGAUGCUGUUUCAUGUAGAAGAUGUACAUGUAGAAUAUAUAAAUUCGUAUGCGAAACUUAAGCCAGGUUUUGAACAUGAUGGAUCAAAUGAUGGACAGUCCAUUCAUGGCUGCCAGUCGAGGAGGUGCUUUUGUGGCGAGACGUGGAUGGGAUGCCAAGGAAGAUGGCAACACUCUGAGUUUUAGAUUUGAAAUGUCACGGUUGGAUAAGGACAAUGUGAUUUCUGCGGAGGAGAGCACUCUGGUGAUCAAAGGUGUGGCUGAGAAGGAAGCCAAGGAUGAAGAGCCUGCUCUGGAAUGUCAUAUUGUAUCUGAGAAUAACUUCUUAUUUGGAUUCUAUGUAUUCAAAGUUCAUGUCUUAGAAACAUAUUGUAUUCCUGGUUGGAUGUUUAAU